CUAAUUUCACAAAACGCACAAUGCAUACGUUCAAAGAAAAGGAAAGAAACGACGAGAAGCAGAGGGGAAACGGGAAGAAGAAGAGAAGAGGAGGGGAAGGGAGUCGUCGCACCUUGCUCGCUCGUUGCUGCAACUUGCCCGCCCGUCGCCGCCGUUUCGUGGAGUCCGCCUUGGUCCCGGUUGAACAGGGAUGAAGGAGAGGCAUCGAGAGAGAGACGCGAUGGAGGUCAGAAGGAGGAGCUGCCAUCACUGCCGUCCCGUCCAUGGAGCCGCCUUCGCAUCGCCGUCGUGCUUCGAGGUCAUCGCUCUGUGUCAUUGAGAGAAGCCCGAGAUGGAGAUGAGGGAGACGCGAGCCAAGGACUGCGACGAGGAGGAAAAGCCGCCGUCACCUUCACUGGAGCCACAAUCGCUGUCACCGUUCUGCCUUUCCCUAAGCCGCUAAUACCACCAUAUUCUUCCAAUUCCAUUCCUGUUCCGUGAGAGUUGGCUACUGCAGUUUCUGUUUUGGGGUUUUCCGCCAUUGAAGCUACCAUCAAUAGCGCCACUCUCCAUUUUGAUUCCAAUUCCGUAAUUCGAAAACCUGUAAUGUUCUCUACCCUUAAUUUUGCUGCAUUUUGUUUAUCUCUGCAUUCUUAUUUUGGUUCCAUUAGUAAGCACCUCUGUCUUAGUAUCGCUGAGUUCUGCUUAAAUGGUUGAAAUUGUCACUGCUGCGGGCAUAAUCAAAGUUGGUGCCGCUGCCGCCGUUCCAGAUUGCUUUAAAAUUGAUGUUGUUACUGUUCCAGUUGAUGCGGCUGCCACUGUCCUUGGUUGCAGUAGGAUUAUCACUGCUGAAAUUAGAAACGAAAUGGGGGAUGUCUUGUUCAAAUUAUGCGAUUGCGACAUCGAGGCUCAACGUGCAGGUUGCCUGUUGAAGAAAAUUCUGCAAGUCAUUGAGUUGCGUGUUUCACAUCAAGCAGAAAGCAUAAAAAAUCAAAACAAUAUUUUCAAGGCUCGUGAGGAGAAGUACCAAUCAAGAAUAAAUGCACUUGAAACUCUUGCGGCUGGGGCCACUGAAGAGAAUAAGGUAGUUUCUUUGUUGAUUGAGCUGGGGGUGUGGAACUUUGCUAUAGGGAAUAGAAAUGCAUAUGAGUUCUGUUGCUGAGAAGAUCUGUGAUCUGGUUGCUGUUGCUAGGUUUUUAAUUGCAACUCUCAUAAUUCCUGAAAUUCAAGAAAGUACUCGCUCAAAAGGAAUUAGUUCAUAGCCUAAAGCAAUCUAAGUUCUGCCAGAAGGUCUGAUGGAAAGGAGAAGAAAAAAUGAAAUUCCUUCAUUUAAGACUACAAGUUCUGCUUCUCCAGACUUUUACCUGGAUCAAAUUUUACCAAAGCUAAAGCAAUCAAAGGUUAUCAGAUUAAUUAUUACAAAUGGUGGGGCUCUGCAGGAAGACAUGAUGUGAUGAAGAAAAUAUGUUCCAUACAAAUAUCACAUGAGAUGGGUCUUAUAAUGGCCUUAGUUAUGUAAAUGUAAUAUUUUGAUGUGUUAUGUACUUUUUGAGAUAUAUGUAAUUGGAAAAAUUACACUCUAUUUUGAUUUGUGUUGUUUUAGACUAAAAAUUAAACAUAUCUAUCUUAUAAUGAAAUUUUUUA